ACCCCCGUGUUAUGGGCUUCGUGUAGGUAUCCUCGAUUCGCGGAAAUUCGACAGUUGACCGGGUCUGCAAAUUUCGGGCCAGACAGACCCGUGACCGGAAAAGUCUCCGAAUUGGGCCGAGGUUUUGGCUAGCCCCCCAUUGUCAGAUGUCCCGAGCGCGUCCCCGAAGUCGGAAUCGGCAAAGGUGAGCCGGGACAACCUUCUUCCUCCGCCCAACCGCCACAGUAAUUUGUCGUCAAGUCUGCCACAGGAGGAUAUUUUGUUCUGGGUUAACCUGCCUUUUUACCUCGCAGGUUGUUUAUCAAUAUUGUGUAAUUUUAAUUACUCCUAGAAUUUCCGCAUGUGUUAGCAGUAAUUAUUUGAAAUUGGUCUGUAAUAUUAUAUUCAUGUUGGACCUGUAAACUUAAUA